UCUCUGUGUUUUCACGAUAGCCUUCUACUUUUGUUAUGGAAAUUGUUCUUUAUUUGACUCCAUAUCUGCUUUUAUGUUUUCCCCGCCAGCUACCGCUGCUUCACUUAACAUAAGCUUCUGAAGCCACUAGCCCUUUUGAGGCCAUUUCUAUCUAUUACCAGAUAUUUGCCAAUCCUUCAUCUUCCUUCAUCUUCUCCAGAGGCCCUAACAAUAAAGGAGCAGGCCAUUUUUUUAGUACUAUCCAGUUUUAUAUAUACGUCACUCAAACCCACAAAAAUAACAGGCGAAGGAGAGGAGCACGGAAAACCACCACCACCUUUUUCUUCUUUUCAUACUUGCGGGAAAACACAGGAGAGUCUUUGAGCAAGAAAAUGUAUAGCAACGGAGACUCUUCUUCUCCGGAGGACUCCAAUGGCGAAUCAAAUGAAAAGGCUCAGAGAUCGAUCAGAGUUUGUUGCAGGUUUAGAUGGUCCACAUUGGACAGACAAACAUUUGCCUCAUCUGGAGAAUACAGGGCAAUGACUGACAUGUGAGCAACAUACCCACCAUAUGAUGCAUAAUAAACAGAUCUUUGCCAAACGGGCUGAAGAGCACGAAAGAUUCAUCAACAAGGUUGCACUGAUUGGGAGCUUUUUGGGUUGAUAGGUGACUUAUUUGUUGAGUGUUCUUGGGUUUGGAACAUUCUGCUUUCUGUUGGGUGCCAGGCCUCAAGAUGUCCCUUAUGCAUAUUGUUUGCUCUCUAUCAUAUUUGUUCCUCUACGGUGGAUUUAUUAUCGAUACAAGAAAUGGCAUUAUUAUCUCUUGGACUUCUGCUACUACGCCAACACACUAUUCUUGGUCAUGCUUCUUUGUUUUCCUAGAAAUGAGAAGUUUUUCAUGAUUUGCUUCUCUUUUGCAGAGGGUCCACUGGCUUGGGCACUGAUUGUGUGGAGAUGCAGCUUAGCCUUUAAUUCUUUCGACAAAAUUGUAAGCGUCUUCAUACAUCUUUUGUCUGGUAAGUUGGACAUCCUUCUCUACAAAAUAAGACAAAGGAACUUAAGAACCUUUUGAUCCAACUUCGGCCCUUCUUUUCCUUGAUCCCCAAAGCAAAAGCUGCAAAAAUUAUCUGUGGAAUUCUUGAUACGGUGGCCAAAAUACCUGCCGCAUCUGAUGUUCAGAUUGCCCUAUGCAAGGAAAUUGUGCAAUAGACACGUGAUGAGAAGUGAACUUUCCUUCGUUAGCGCACUGAGGCAAAGCUUGCAGCUCUAUUGAUGGAGACCAAGGAAGAAUCCGAAACUUUAGCUCUCCUUUCUGGACCAAUCAAGGAGGUUCAGAAUAUAGGAAAGCUUCAGCUGAGUCCAUUAAGUGCUCUUUUUAUCACUUGAAUUUCUUCAUUUCCAACCUCCCAUAACUCAAGUACUGAUUUACCUUGACAUCUUUGCUCAAAAAGCAUCCUUUAGUUGAUAAAAACUUCUUUUCCUGCAACUGCUUCAUAAUUUCAUACUACAGACCAGCUUUUAUGUAUUAAUUAUUUUUCCAGGACUUGGAACAACUGAAUGUUGAACAAACAGCUCAAGAAACUUAAGCACAUAAUCAAUAACUAAUAUGUUUCCUUGCUCCAAAUCAUUAUGUUGUCUCAAAAGUUGAGACAAGUCCAAAUCUAUUUGUUUAAGUUUUGUUUUACCUUCUUUUAUGAUAGCCAUGAUAUAAAAAAUGAUGCAGUGUUUCUUAAUGAGUUUGAAGACCAAAUCUGACUUAAAAAUAAAUAGGAAUGGAAUAAAAGAAAUGUAGGAAUCACAUCUAGGUUUUACUACUGUGUUACCAUUAAUUGCUCGAGUCUUGAUGAACUUUGAAUUCGAUAAGUGCAAUUCUAAUAAGUAUUAUUGACGAUUUGGAAUUCUACUUUUGGAGUUCGAAAGUUGGAGUCAAGUUAUGCUCCUAGAAUACAUGCUCUUUUUUUUUAGUGUCUUAUCAGACAAUUUCACAUAAUUAUUUAUCUAAAUGUUGAUGUUUGAAUAGUUUAUCUAGAAAAUUGCAUAAAAAGCGAUUUUUCUGAUAUGAUCUAGAGAACCAUUUCAUGAGUAUUGAACUUUGUCCCUUCUAAGUACCCCAAAGAACCUUACGCCCAGCCUUCUGCAUUUAGAUUGCGUAGAAUUCUAUGAUCCCCAAUUGUUCCUCGUUCUGGAACUGCUCAGAAUCUAGGUAACCUUGGGAAUGACUUUUGGUAAACGUAACAAGUCCCUCAUGAGAGACUGGUAUCAUACAAAAUAUGGAAACCAAUGUUUCAUUUCCAUUCUUUAACCUCCUUAUCAGAAAGAAAUAGAUCCAGCAUGGCAGACUGGUAGAAAAUUGAAAGUUUCAAGGAUCUAAAGGAAAACCAACUCAUAACUAAGGCUCUCAAUCUUAAUUUCUAAGAGCUAUCAUUUGUGUAAAUUUGUCAUCAGAAGAUUCAUAUUAUGUCCGAAGUAUUCUAGGUAGGAUGUUAUUCUUGAAUUCUGCCUUCAAAUAAAUCAUGGUUAGAUAAAUACUAAAUUUUGACUAUAAAGGGGCAUUGGUACUACAUAACUUAACUAUGCAUUUCUUUUUAACCAUGGCAUGCACGUCUUACUUAUUUUUCUAUUAUAUGCUUUUGUGUCUCAGCUAAAGCUAUAGACGAAUGUCCUGACCUCAAGACCAAGGCUGCUGAGUCAAAUAAAGCAGCAAAGAUAGAUUCAAGAUCAAAAUCCAUUGUUGAAAGGAUGCUUGAUAAAACUGGCUCACCCGGGCUACAAAUUAGGUUAAGUUUAGCGCAACAGCACUAUGAGAAACACAAGCAUUGUCUACUAUAGGGAAGGCAUAAAUCAGUUCCUGUGUGAUAGUCUAACAAGCGCUAAUGCUGAGCUCUUGACAGUUUAUGGAACAGAAGAAGCAACUGAUACACUGAUUGAGCAGAUAACUUGGGAUCAAGACCCCAUACUACGUUAUGGAUAAAUGUAUGCAUUUGCAUUGGCUUACAGUAGAAAUGCAAACAACAAGGCCAUUCGACAGCUGCUGCAUUUUGCUGCAUCAGAAUUGAGUGACAAUGUUAGGCACACUGCAGUUUUGGCACUGGAUUCAUGGUGCUGCAGAAAGGAAAUCAGAACUGGAGCUCUUUGAAUGGACUAAGCAUUUUGAGCUCAUGUGUAACACAUAGUUCACGACACAAGCCUGAACUAGCGUGUCAGUUAUUGCUUUUUUU